CUGUAGUGACUAUGAACUGAAUGACAUCUAUUACCAUCAUAGCAUGAUAACACUGAAGGUGCAGUAGUGGCCUGCAUACCUUGAUGGAUGAAAGCAGGAACAGAUGUAAGAAGGUGACUGUACAUGUGGGGACAUGUUCCUGCGAAUCACUGAAGCUAGAUGGUGCACAGGUGCCUGGCAGAGAGAGGAAGUAAACACUUUAUGUGUGGAGAGAUACUGACUGAAUGUGGAAGCUUAGGUCCAUUGGCCUAAGGAUGACACUGCCUAUAGUGGACUAGAGCCUCCUACUUCAAUUACGAAUUAUGAAAAUGCCCCAUAGAGACAUACC